UACGUAGGUGGCAAGCGUUAUCCGGAUUUACUGGGUGUAAAGGGAGCGCAGGCGGUUCUGCAAGUCUGAUGUGAAAGCCCGGGGCUCAACCGCGGGACUGCAUUGGAAACUGCGGGACUGGAGUGUCGGAGGGGUAAGCGGAAUUCCUGGUGUAGCGGUGAAAUGCGUAGAUAUCAGGAGGAACACCGGUGGCGAAGGCGGCUUACUGGACGAUGACUGACGCUGAGGCUCGAGAGCGUGGGGAGCAAACAGG
rnacentral:rRNA from 1 species